UAGCGGUAGGGGGCAAGCGUUUGUCCGGAAUUCAUUGGGCGUAAAGCGCGCGUAGGUGGCUUCGUAAGUCCGCUGUGAAAGUCAAAGGCUCAACCUUUGAAAGCCGGUGGAUACUGCGGAGCUAGAGUCCGGAAGAGGCGAGUGGAAUUCCUGGUGUAGCGGUGGAAUGCGCAGAUAUCAGGAGGAACACCAAUAGCGAAGGCAGCUCGCUGGGACGGUACUGACACUGAGGCGCGAAAGCGUGGGGAGCGAACAGG
rnacentral:rRNA from 1 species